GGAGCUGCAGGAUAGCAAGAAACCAGGUGAUGUGCAAGAAAGAAGAAAAAGAAGGAGCCAAGAUGGUGAAACUAGGGAUUCAUACCCGGUCUGAGUCUGAAGCUGAUAAAGAGAUAACGAGAUAAAUGGGACAAAAGAACAGAAGCUACCUGUGGUUGGAUUUGGGGAAGGUCAGAAAAUCCCAGGACUUCGAGAACACCAGAGUGCAUUGGCACAAGUGCAGUCACUAAGUAAGAAUUGUUCUUCCCUUUAAGUGGUUUUAGAGAGACUGAACUCCUGGUGCCAAAGUAAUAAUAAUCACAACAACGAUGAACGACCUACUAAACAUCCUGCAGUGAAAACGUCAA